rnacentral:tRNA from 1 species
GGAAGUGUAGCUCAAUAGUAGAGCUCAUGUGUACCUUGCAUGAGGCCCUGGGUUCAGUCCCAGCACCCA